rnacentral:rRNA from 1 species
UAGCAGUGAGGAAGGUGGGUAUGUUAAUAGCAUAUUCAUUUGACGUAGCUGCAGAAGAAGCACCGGCUAACUCCGUGCCAGCAGCCGCGGUAAUACGGAGGGGUGCGAGCGUUAAUCGGAAUUACUGGGCGUAAAGCGCAUGCAGGUGGUUUGUUAAGUCAGAUGUGAAAGCCCCGGGGCUCAACCUCGGAAUUGCAUUUGAAACUGGCAAACUAGAGUACUGUAGAGGGGGGUAGAAUUUCAGGUGUAGCGGUGAAAAUGCGUAGAGAUCUGAAGGAAUACCCGGUGGCGAAGGCGGCCCCCUGGACAGAUACUGACACUCAGAUGCGAAAGCGUGGGGAGCAAACAGGAUUAGAUACCCCUGGUAG